GUCGUCUUCUUUGCACCACCCAAUCAAGCAUAGACCUCUGAUUUCUCACGUUAAACCAGCCACCACCGGCCACGAGAAACCUCCAUCUUCUUCAUCUCCCGUCGUGAACACACGCAGACCCGCCCCCCUGAUCGUGGUCUUCUCCAAACGAACCUUAAAGAUCUAAAAGUUGCAGUAGCAACCAUAAGCCCAAGAUCCCUGAGCUUCUCCUUCUUCCUUCUUCACGUAGCAGCAACCAUAGAUGUUGACUCCUUCGCCACCCACUCAUUGGAACGCACACACAUACGCAGAAUUAAAGAAAGCUGGGAUUUGGAUUUUACUUCUGAUAUUUGUUCUUCCAAAGCUUCUGCUUGAGUUUGUUCAAUAUAGAAUUUCCAAUCUCUGUUUCGAUCUCGGCUCGUGAAGUUUGAUUGAGGUCAUAUUUGUGUUUCGAGCUGUCCGUUAGCAAAUCCGAGGUGUCGAUUCGAGGUCCGUUAUUAAAUUAUAUCGCGGUUCCGUCAAGUUUUUGUUAAACGCUUUCAGAUUUCAUUUGGGAAAUAUAUCUCUAAGGUCAUCUCUUCUAUCCCACUCAUCUUCAAAUGAUAUACGAUUGUUUUUUUAUCUAAUUUUUUAUAUCUGUUAUUCAAUGUCAAAAAUGGACUUAAACUUGGUUUGCUAUCUGAUUCUUAUUUCAUUUGUGUUCGUUACUCUAUGUUUUGGCAGUUAUUCUCAACUACUAUAGGAUAAUAAGAACCAUGAAAAUAUAAGACAAUAGCAUAGAGUUUAUUAAGUCAUUAAUCCAUCAAAUCAUAAUUCUAUCACGUAAUAAUGUAUUCUUGAUGAUGAAUCACUUCCAUUAUUUUUUUUGUUUAAUCUCUUGUUUCCGUAAGAAUUCGACGGAAAUUGUGGCAGAAAGUAAGAAGUUUUCAUAACUUAGUUGAAUAGAGUUGAUGUAAAGUUAGUCCUAAACCAUAGGAUAAAUUAA
rnacentral:lncRNA from 1 species